AUAGCUAAUAAGAGAUAUGGGGUGUGGCAGAAAUAUACUAAGAAACCUAGUUCCAGUUUUUCUGUUCCCUGGUGUGGAGCAAGGACAUCCUAUCCCUCAGGGAAAAUGCUACAUUCUGACUGACACUCUCCUCCUUGGCACCAGUCCUUGAGAAUAAUCCCCUUCCUCUCAGGUGAGGGUUGUGCACACUGUAUUGUUGGGUAAGAUGCAGAUGAACAUCUGAGAACAAAGAGAACUUAUGCCUCCUGUCUUUUUGUGUGUGUCCUGGUCACACUGUGGUGAUCUGAAAAUGCUUACUACAUUGUGGAAAAAAAAAAAAAAAGGAAGAGUAUUUAGUUUGAGUAUGCUGCUAAGACUUCAGUUCCAAGCAGCUGAGCAGAAUCUAUACCUGAGGAAUUCUGCAUUUAUCUACUAGCUGUAGCAACUAAGGGAUUUCGUUGUUACAUUACACUGUAGGUAAGGAAGGGUUCUGAACAUCUUGAUUUCAUCUAAAUUUUUUGCACAUCCCUUUAUAAUCUGGGCUUUUUCUGUUUUUGUUGGGAGAGCUGAGCAAAUGAGACCUUACUGAACAAUAAAUAGCUUUGGAUAGGCUGUUGGAUAGUCUUUCCUAAUUUGAAUAGCUGAACAGUUAGAAGCCUGAGCAUUUUUGUGUUGCGUUUUGAUAUACCUUUGGAUGGCAUACUUAAAUAAAAUAGGUUUUAGAUACUCUUUUAUGAUGAUCGCUCUGGGAUUAAUCUCAUACUACAGUGUUGCUAGGUUUUGCUGCUAGGUAACUACUGCAUCAGAGAGAGGUUUCAGUAAGAUUUGGUAUCUGUUGGGAAUUGCAGGGUGAUUCACACUGUGGCUUUAUUACAACAGAGCUGAGAAUGUUUACAAAGACAACUGCAAGUAUAAUUUUCCUGUUUGAAGCCACAUUCUGAAUUCCAAUCAGAAUCUGUCAGAAGAAUACGAAGACUUCCUGAUUCUGAAAACCCUGUUGUCUUCAUUUAGUUUUAUGGCACUAACCACACCAAGGAAGAGCUGUUUUUUUUUCACUGGAGGUUAUUUUUCAUUGAGAAAGAGAAGUCUUGCUUGUAUUCUUUGAACAGUAUAGACUAAUGCGGGGAGUUGGUCCUUCACAUCUGCAGAGCAACUUUGAACGAGGCAGGUUUUUCUCUCCUGUAUAUUGUCCACUGUACAGAAUAACACAACAAGACUGGAAAUGUCAUUUCAAAGGAGCCUUAUGUAUCAGGACAUAGGAGAAAGUUAUUGCAGGCAAAAAUUAAUGGUAUCAGUUACGCAAGGCCAAACCUUUGCCCUGCCAUUGUCAAAGCAGCAUUUUUACAAACUCCAGUUGGAUUUUGCAGUGGGAUGUCUGUUUUGGCACCCACUGAAUUGGGCUGCAAUUGACAGUUGUGCACAAACACACCAAUUUAAAAAAUGUUUGUUGUAUCAAAGCAGGAGAUUUUUUUUCUGUCUUUGGAGGAAACCUGAAUAAGGAACACACAGAGGUAUUUUGAAAGCACAUACUUAUGUUUCCCAAUAGAUUUUAACUCCUUAAAUAAA